AUAUAUUUUAGCGGCACCUGCGGUCUACCUGGUGCUUUAGGUCCCCCGGGGACAAUUCGCCGCCUCUAAACGAAGCCCGAGAUUUGAGUGGAAUACCGCAAAUAAAAUUAGCGUGACCUUGAUUAUACCCUGUAUGAAUAUCUCAUUUACGUAAUGACUUUAUGUCACGUACGCGGAGGGUCAAUUUCCUUUUAAUCUUUCCCAUUGCUGCAGUAAGCAUUCUUUUAUAAUCAAUGGCUGUUUGAAUAAUCAAUUCACAUUUUAUGAUCCCUGACAAACUCAAUAUAUGUGUGCCUUGUUUCAGCAAAGCAGCCGGUACUUCUCCACGGCGUUUUCACGUCCGAAGAGUUUGCGGCGGGGUUUCCCGGCUCCCUGGGGAGGCUCCGAGGGAUGCAGCGGGCAGCGGAGAGCCGCGCCUCGGCGGGAGGCUUAGCGCAAGGGGACACGCUCAGGGAGCCGCGGUGACAUCCAGCAGCCCCUUGAGUUUCACAUGUUUUUCCAAUCGCUCAACCCCAAAUAUAUGGUGUCCCCCUCCCUCCCCCCUCCUCUUUCCUAGGAAUGCGCGUAAUAAAACCUAAUCGCCCGGGACUCUCCUCCUUUCUGCAUCUGCCGGACAAGAAACCGUGGGGGGACGAGGUCCUCCCGGCUCUGAAGCCGAGCUGCUAUGGGACGCCCGGCGGCCUCGGCCACGUCUGCACGUGGAAAACCUCGAAUGAGACUUUUGCGCUACAUUAACUGUCCCUCUGCCGUCCGGGGCUCCCUCUCCAGCAGCCGCCUUCUUCGUCUCCUGCAGCCAUCUCCGAAGCGGAGGUCGGGACGCUCACCCCAGGAGCGCAGCCCGGACCACGACAAAGUGGUCCAUGGUUCUUUGGUAUGUUGUUAUUCCCUGAAAGGUAAUUGCACUUGAUAUUCUCUCGGGGAAGGCUCAUUAGCCAGGGGCAGGGUGGUGUUGCCAAUCUCAGGCUCUUUCGACAAUUCAAUGAAAACAUUUGCCCCAGAGGUUUAGAACAGUGCUCCCAGCUCAUGAAACAGCCCUUGGAUACAGCAUUUCCCCUAAGAAACCUUAAGUCUAAAAAAUAGUAUAUAUGAACGUGUAUAUAUAUAUACUAUAUAUAUAUAUAUAUAUAUUUUCUCCCCAGCAAAGCAGGAAACAUUUAAUUCUUAGGGAAUUCAGUUUAACCCCUCACUGUAAAUGAUUAAAGCUAUGCGAGAAGAUCAGACGUGUUACACUGGGCUCAACAUCACCCUCCCCGCGUAUCAUCUAUCAGAAGAUACCCGGCACACAAUCCUGCUCAAGACAGCAGAAAACACAACACACCUUCAGCUCCUUUGCCUGCACUUCUUGACACUUCCUUCACAUUCACGAAAUGCAUGUCAAAAACACUUUUCAGCUGCCCACCAUCGCAGACCCACACUUGACUUCUUUCUCACACAUGCCUGCUGUCAUCUCUUUGGCUCCUUUCAUCUCUCCUGUGAAAUUAAUUACCUCACUAAUGCAAGGCAAUGAAACACAGGUAUAAGGUAAGCGAGGAAAUAUACAUUAGUUAAUACGCAUUAUUUUAUGAAGGUGAACCCUCUGGGAUUGUUCGGAUUUUACUUUUUCCUCUGUUGUUCAUCAUUUUGAGAAACUUAUUCUUCCACUUGGAUCUCUGCAGGUUGAGCAGGAUGAGUCACAGCAACACUGAGAGAAUGGAGGAUCCAGUUCUCACAGGACAGAAUGGUCCCACAGGAUCCAUGAAGGGGAAGAAGAGGGACAGUGUGCAGGCUAAGCAAUUUCUCAGACAUCAGCAGGUUUUUCACGUCAGAAUAAAAUAAUCUGGGUGUCUGCAGGUGCAGUGAAUUAGAUGGAAUAUUAUCCCUGCCUUGGAUUAAAGGGCAGAAACACUCUUAGUUCCAAACAACAAAUCCUAUAACUGAAAUGUAUGCCUAACCACCUCGCUGUGUUUACGUACUUCCACUCACCACAUUUUUCCCCAUCGAAGUUAGUUAAUAAAGUCAAAGAGUGAAACACAUCUGGGCUGUAUCACGACUGACUUUAAUGCUGAUAACUUAGGGAGGAAAUUGUGCUGUGGUGUGUGACUACAGAACGAACGUCCAAAGGUCCAACGUCCAAAGGUCCUACGUCCAAACAAAGACACUAAGACAUUGUAGAUGUGAGAUUGUAAACCUCACUGAUCAGAAGGGCUGCCAAUCAGCCCAUAGGUCUCACCUAGAGAGGAAACAAAAGUUCGGAGAAAAUCACCUCAAGGCAGUGAAUCUCUGCAGACAAUGUUUUCAAAACUGACAGCCUCCAGUAUCCUCAGGCCCAAGUUCCAUUGCCUGAAAACCACCUGAAUGGAGGAUGCAGGGCUCUGCAGGCUGAGUUUGAAAGAUGCCAACUGUCCCUGUGCACUCAGCCUUCCUGCUCCUCCUGAUGGAACAUGUGGAUAAGCACCAGCCUUGAAGUAAGCCCUCAGCACAGGAAGCAUCAAUUCUUUAAUUCAUACUUCAGGGAUUUGCAGCCAGGGUUUUCAUUUGACACAUCUAGAUAUUUCUCAUGUUAUAGUGGUACAUUCUUCCUCAAAGUGUUUUUCAAAAUCAGCAGGCUUUUCAGGGAUGAAACAUGAUUGUGCACUAAUAUAUUCCAUUUUUAAAGUAUGUGCUAAUUAUCAAAUCAGUCUUAUACUACUUCAUAUACAUUUAUAGACAAUCACUAAUAGUGUCAUUGAUCUGCAAAUAAAUAGAUUUAGCAGAAGCUUUCCUUUGAUGUAGAUAAAUGUAAACAACAAUGAAAAAAAAUAGCGUACAAGUGGUUGUCCUGUUCUCUUACCUUAAGGCUAUAUUACGAUCACAAUCAGACAUAUCUAGGCAUGUGUCACACCGGAUAAUGCUAUUUCUUGGGCGUUUGAGGGCAGAUGACUUUACCUUGGACUUCACAAAAGCUGAGACAUGCCAUUUAAAAGCAUGAAUCUGGCAUUACUGAAAACCCUCGCGUAUCAUACUCACGUAUAUCAUUGUUAACCUACAUAUGAGAUGUUUUUAAAAAUCGCUUCACAUUUAAUACUGAAGUCAUUUUACUUCUAUUAUUCAUGUGAAGAGCUAAAAAUAAACAUCCAAAAUAUUUUUCUCUUUUAUGGAACAGCUGAUAAAAGCCUUCAUUUGAAGUGAACUCUUGGAUGAAUGCAGCCUUAUUUUCUGGGCUCAGAUCUCUUGUACCCAGUUGGGAACCCCACAUCAGAUCUGGGAAGUACGUUGAAUCUUCAGAGGAAAGGGGCUCUAUACCUCAUAAUAUUCAUUAGGAAUAUCUUAGGCAAACAGUUUCCAGCCUAAAACUCACCCAUGAUGUGCUCAUUUGGGCUUUUUAUUUUGUUAUUCUCGAUGUGUCACUGGUCACCUAUUACACUUGGUCUACUUCCCAAUAGGUUGAAUGGAAUUAUUUUAACAAGAGACAACAAAUAAUAAAAGUGCAUAACCCAUUUGCCUGUCUGUGUAUGCAUGCUUUUUUUUGGUGCAGUUAUUCAUAGAAAGCCUGAUUCUGACUCCACUGCAUUUGAUAAAGCAGGAUUUGAUCCAUAAAGAAAAUAGAUUUACCUAACGCUUGUUAAGGGAAAAUCCUCCUUGCUUUAAUUUUCAGUUGUAUGGCCACAAACAUGAUCCGAACAAGACCCAUCUGAAACCCCUAGGGCUUCUUUGUGAGUAGAGUUGCAAUAGCAGCCCAGGAAAACAACCAGUUUUGUUGCUACAGGUUAAUUUCAGCUUUCAAACAUUAUUGGAAAUAAUCAAUCGCCUUUCUUCCCCUCCCCCAGCUGAACCUUGGAUUGCUUCCUCUGACAAAUGGCUCUGGGCACUGAAGUAAGAGCAUACUGUUUGAUUCAAAAGAAUUUUUUUUUUUUCUGUUGUUUCCAGACUUCAUUCACUGAAGAAGGUCCAGUCUGCACCCAAUACAUUCAUGGUAACUGUUCCCAAAAUAAACAUCAAGCAAGAUUCUUAGUAGUUGAGAGAGGCAAUUGUUCAAUUAUAUAAUCCCCCACAAAUGGGAAUAAAUCAAUAUAAAGAUCUAGGCCCCGCUUUCCUUGAGCAUCU
rnacentral:lncRNA from 1 species